ensembl:lncRNA
GCCAAACUAUUUUAUCUCUUGCCAUUUUUCCCCUAAAGAAAAAACAUCAGGAUUUUUCCCCUCUGCAUUUUUACAGAAAACCCUUGGGUAGUUUAGAAUGUAAACAAGCCCCAUGAACUUGUAUUAAAUGAUUAAAGGUUAGGAGAAAGGAGGACGUUUUCCAAACCCUUUCAUUUUGCAGAAGUUUAACCUAAAACAAAGCAUCAUCGACCAUCAUUCAUCUUUCAGCUUCCAUCCGGAAUAUGGAGACGUUGAAUAUUGACAAAGCGAUAAAACUGCUCACAGGAGGGUAAUUCAGGCAGUUCGAUAACCAUGCAAUGAAGAGAAAGCUGCUGACAUAGAUUUAAAGGCUAAUUACAAGCAGAGAGUGACCAGAGGAUGGUUGGACUCCAUCUGCACAGUGGACAGAAGCCAACUGAUUCCUGCACUGUUUACACUGUUCUUUCAUCACUAGAGAAUGCUCUCCAUGGAGAAGUGUUUUCUGAACUCUGCUGGAAAUGAAUCCAUGUGCAUCCUCACCAGUUUUCCAGAAGAUUUCAUCCUCUAGACAUGCUGAGCUAUUUUCUAGAGACAGUAAUAUGAAGUGAGCUAGACCCUUGUGCUGGACAUCAGAUUUCAAAAAGAAAACAGUAUGACAGCCAAUCCUUCAAGGCAUAAGACUCCACUUGGCUUUUAACUUGAGAUGAAUCCUUCCUGAAACUGUUUGCUUUUACUGGAGUCCUCUCUAAAGAGUAUAAAACUAAUAAAAACAUGGCUUUGAAUUGUUACUAUGACCAACAAAGACAAAUGAUAUCACUUCUUCCUAUUCACAUGGAAUUGAGGUUUAGCAGUCCAAUCAUUCUACAAGAUCCAGGGCCAGCUGAAAUCAACCAAAAAGAAUUCCACAGAACUAACAGUUUUUUGACCAAAACCAAGAUGAUGAAGCCUUUGUGAUGAGGAAUAGAACUCUUCCAGACAUUUUGGAUAAUUUUGUUUUGUUUUGUUAUAUGUUGGUUACUGUUUAAGUGCCUCAAACUCUAAACAAAGAACAACUACAUCAAAAGCCAGAAAGCAAAGCACAGUUAUUAUGAUGAGAUUUGUUCCUUCUCACCUCUUCAGUCUUUUGUGGAACCUUCUCUGAACACUGCUUGAAAUGAUGGCAUAGAGUGCCAAUGAUUGUGAAGGUAGCAAAGAAAGAAAUGGGAGAAAAAUUACCAUUUCAUAUCCUUUUGUGUGUCAGCAAAUUUGGAAAAGGAAUCUACACAAUUGUUUUCCAUCCCUGCGUCAGCUUUGAUCUCUCCAAACACAAGUUUCAAGCCCAAAGGAUGUUAUUUUCUAAAUGUUAUAAGCACCUGCAAAUAGAGAAUUAAGAAAUUAAUUCAUUCACUGUAACUAGUCCAUAAAAGUGCCGAAAUAUUUAAAUGAAGUUUAAUUAAGAUGAUAGAAGAAAUGACUUCGGGAAAGCAAACUAUAAUUUUCUGAAUUAAAGCAGAAAUUAAUAUCAGACAGAAUGAAAAAAAAAUACUUCGAUUGUACUUUAUAUUUUUUCUCUGUCUGACUGCAAAAGUAUAUGCAUGAUGUAACACAGCAGGACUCUGGUACCAGAAGUUCCUCCUAUUGAGUAUGGGGACACCACAGAGCCCAGCAAGGUCAAGAGCAUCACUCCUCUUCAUUUCUACGGGUUUUGAGUUUCAGGUUUCAAAUGAAUCAAAAAGCUCGAAAACUGUGGACCUGUGUUUAAAGGAAAAGAUUCUGGCAGCAGCUGAAGAUUAAAUUCAUAGAAGUUUG